rnacentral:rRNA from 1 species
UACGGAGGGUGCAAGCGUUAAUCGGAAUUACUGGGCGUAAAGCGCACGCAGGUGGCUGAGUCAGUCGAUUGUGAAAGCCCUGGCUUAACCUGGGAAUUGCAGUCGAUACUACUCAGCUAGAGUAUGGGAGAGGGUAGUGGAAUUCCCGGUGUAGCGGUGAAAUGCGUAGAUAUCGGGAGGAACAUCGAGUGGCGAAGGCGGCUACCUGGCCCAAUACUGACACUCAGGUGCGACAGCGUGGGGAGCAAACAGG